CCCCCUUUAUUCUCAAGAAUAAUGUAGAAUUUGCUGAGAAUGCAACGUCCUGAGAUAAGGAGGGACUGACCGGAACAGCCAGGGCUCUGUUCCAGUUCCCCCUAGAAAGAAAAUGUCCUCCAGUGCUUUAGCCUAGUAUGUCAUGUAGCUCCUGGAAUAUAAAAUCUGUGGUGGACUGUUUUCUGGGGUCCCUCAGUUGUGGUGCAAGUGGGGCAUGUGCAGAGAUUCUGUCCUUCCUGAGCAGCUUUCCUGGGCCUUGGAAGACCAGCUCGCCGUGAACCUGAUGCUUCUGCUGUCCCUCGCUACCUAUCUUGUGUCUCCACUUCCUGCCACUUCCAGCCACUUGAGUUUCCGGUGAGUUCCAGAAUGUCCUCCACAGUUUUGUAGCCAUCCUGCAGGAGCAUGAAUUAACAUCCUGCUUUAUAAAUCAGAAUCACCUUUUAAAAGUCGACUCUGUAGGUGUGCUGGCAAUUAUUCCUGCUACACUGGAGAUGAAAGAAAGUGUGGUCUAACCAUGGCGAUCUGCCUCAAAUAGGAAACUGAAUUACUAAUCAAUGCAGAGUAGCGAAGGUGUUAUUAUUCUCACUGCUUUGGGAUUAUAAUUUUCUGCCAUAGAUAAGGAGGAAAAUGAAAAAUAUACAGCUGAAUCUGAAGCUCCACCCAACGUGCUAAAAGUCAACUGUAUCAAAAACCGAGAGCCGACGCCGAGAAAGAAUAGAAUAUUUAAAAGUGAGCUUCUGAUACUUUGUCCAGGGGAGGUUGACAACCAAAAUAAAGCCAGUUUUGUGAGGCA
rnacentral:lncRNA from 13 species